GUCCCUAUCGAUUAGUGGUUAAAUCAUCUCGUUGUGGUUGUUUGCGCUCCGAGAAGCCCCAGGCUCGAAUCCUGCUAGGGACA